rnacentral:rRNA from 1 species
UAAAAACCCCGACUUCGGAAGGGGUGUAUUUAUUAGAUACAAAACCAAUGCCCUUCGGGGCUCUUUGGUGAUUCAUGAUAACUAUACGAAUCGCACGGCCUUGCGCCGGCGAUGGUUCAUUCAAAUUUCUUCCCUAUCAACUUUCGAUGUUUGGGUAUUGGCCAAACAUGGUUGCAACGGGUAACGGAGGGUUAGGGCUCGACCCCGGAGAAGGAGCCUGAGAAACGGCUACUACAUCCAAGGAAGGCAGCAGGCGCGCAAAUUACCCAAUCCCGACUCGGGGAGGUAGUGACAAUAAAUACUGAUACAGGGCCCUUUCGGGCCUUGUAAUUGGAAUGAGUACAAUUUAAAUCCCUUAACGAGGAACAAUUGGAGGGCAAGUCUGGUGCCAGCAGCCGCGGUAAUUCCAGCUCCAAUAGCGUAUAUUAAAGUUGUUGUGGUUAAAAAGCUCGUAGUUGAACCUUGGGCCUGGCUGGCCGGUCCGCCUCACCGCGUGCACUGGCCCGGCCGGGCCUUUCCCUCUGUGGAACCCCAUACCCUUCACUGGGCGUGGCGGGGAAACAGGACAUUUACUUU